UUAGAAAGAUCCGGCGGGUGGGUUGGGGUCGGCGGGGAAGGAAUUGGGGAAAAUGACGAGGGGUCGGAUAACAGGGGUCGGGACCGAGCUGGAGGUUGAGCACUUAGACUUGGUAAAACUGAGACUGGGGUUCAGGGACGAUCAGGGACUCGUCUUAAGAUUAACGUGAAGGAUUUUUAACCGGGUGCCAUGGGCAUUGUUUCUUGACUAGUUCAUUGAAUGAGGGGCCAUCAUUUUGUUUAUUCGGUCCUUUCUUGCUUGAAUUUGACAUUGCUGCAAUGGUAUUGUCUGGUUUGCGCUUGCGAUUCUGAUUGCCCGAGUAGUUGCUUCGGUGAUCGCUGUUGCGGUUUCUAUCUUGUUCUUGAUUGUUGCUUUGGUUAUUGUUGUCACGUCCGUGAUUGCAGUGUGAAUCAAACCUUUUGCGCUCUUUGUCU
rnacentral:lncRNA from 1 species